CAAGCGUUAUCCGGAUUUAUUGGGUUUAAAGGGUGCGUAGGCGGUUUGAUAAGUUAGAGGUGAAAUACCGGGGCUCAACUCCGGAACUGCCUCUAAUACUGUUGAACUAGAGAGUAGUUGCGGUAGGCGGAAUGUAUGGUGUAGCGGUGAAAUGCUUAGAGAUCAUACAGAACACCGAUUGCGAAGGCAGCUUACCAAACUAUAUCUGACGUUGAGGCACGAAAGCGUGGGGAGCAAACAGGAUUAGAUACCCUGGUAGUCCACGCAGUAAACGAUGAUAACUCGUUGUCGGCGAUACACAGUCGGUGACUAAGCGAAAGCGAUAAGUUAUCCACCUGGGGAGUACGUUCGCAAGAAUGAAACUCAAAGGAAUUGACGGGGGCCCGCACAAGCGGAGGAACAUGUGGUUUAAUUCGAUGAUACGCGAGGAACCUUACCCGGGCUUGAAAGUUAGUGACGAUUCUGGAAACAGGAUUUCCCUUCGGGGCACGAAACUAGGUGCUGCAUGGUUGUCGUCAGCUCGUGCCGUGAGGUGUCGGGUUAAGUCCCAUAACGAGCGCAACCCCUACCGUUAGUUGCCAUCAGGUCAAGCUGGGCACUCUGGCGGGACUGCCGGUGUAAGCCGAGAGGAAGGUGGGGAUGACGUCAAAUCAGCACGGCCCUUACGUCCGGGGCUACACACGUGUUACAAUGGGGGGUACAGAAGGCAGCUACACGGCGACGUGAUGCUAAUCCCAAAAACCUCUCUCAGUUCGGAUCGAAGUCUGCAACCCGACUUCGUGAAGCUGGAUUCGCUAGUAAUCGCGCAUCAGCCAUGGCGCGGUGAAUACGUUCCCGGGCCUUGUACACACCGCCCGUCAAGCCAUGGGAGCCGGGGGUACCUGAAGUGCGUAACCGCGAGGAGCGCCCUAGGGUAAAACUGGUGACUGGGGCUAAGUCGUAACAAGGUAGCCGUACCGGAAGGUGCGGCUG
rnacentral:rRNA from 1 species